rnacentral:rRNA from 1 species
CAUGUCUUUUUGAGUAUAAUUUGAAGUCUAGCCUGCUCAAUGAAUAUUAAAUAGCCGCAGUAUUUUAACUGUGCAAAGGUAGCAUAAUAAUUAGUUUCUUAAUUAGGAAAUUGAAUGAAUGGUUGGACAAGAGAAUUUCUGUCUCUUUUUUAUUAUUUUUGAAUUUUAUUUUUAAGUGAGAAAGCUUAAAUUUAUAUAAAAGACGAGAAGACCCUAUAGAGUUUAAUAUUUAAAAUAAAAUUUUAGGUUAGUAAGAGUUUUUAUAAAAAUUAUUUGAUUGGGGUGAUUUAAAGAUAAAAUAAAUUCUUUAUUAAUUAAUUGAUAAUUUUCAAUUUAUUUAUCUAUAGUUUAUAAAUCUAAAAUAAAUUACCUUAGGGAUAACAGCGUAAUUUUUCUUAAAAGUUCUUAUUGAAGGAAAAGUUUGCGACCUCGAUGUUGGAUUAAAAUAAAUUUUUGGUGUAGUAGCUAAAAAAUUAGGUCUGUUCGACCUUUAAAAUUUUACAUGAUCUGAGUUUAGACCGGUGUAAACCAGGUUGGAUUCUAUCUUUAGAAUUAUUAUUAUAUGUUAGUACGAAAGGACCAUAUAUAAAUUAAAUUAAUUG